GGCGGACAUAGCGACAGGGAAACGCCCGGUCCCAUCCCGAACCCGGAAGCUAAGCCUGUCAGCGCCGAUGAUACUG
rnacentral:rRNA from 4 species